AGUGAACGCUGGCGGCAGGCCUAACACAUGCAAGUCGAACGGCAGCACAAGAGAGCUUGCUCUCUGGGUGGCGAGUGGCGGACGGGUGAGGAAUGCAUCGGAAUCUGCCCAUUUGUGGGGGAUAACCUCGGGAAACCGGGACUAAUACCGCAUACGACCUACGGGUGAAAGCAGGGGAUCUUCGGACCUUGCGCAGAUGGAUGAGCCGAUGCCGGAUUAGCUAGUUGGAGGGGUAAAGGCCCACCAAGGCGACGAUCCGUAGCUGGUCUGAGAGGAUGAUCGGCCACACUGGAACUGAGACACGGCCCAGACUCCUACGGGAGGCAGCAGUGGGGAAUAUUGGACAAUGGGCGCAAGCCUGAUCCAGCCAUGCCGCGUGUGUGAAGAAGGCCUUCGGGUUGUAAAGCACUUUUGUUGGGAAAGAAAAGCAGCCGGUUAAUACCCGGUUGUCAUGACGGUACCCAAAGAAUAAGCACCGGCUAACUUCGUG
rnacentral:rRNA from 1 species